rnacentral:tRNA from 1 species
GCAUUAAUGGGGUAGUGGUAACCUGGGUCGUUGCCAUCGACCCGCCGGGAGUUCGAUUCUCUCUUAAUGCA